UGCAUAGCUCAACUGGGUAGAGCGUGGGGCUGAUAAGUCCAAGGUUGCAGGUUUGAUCCCUAUCUGGGACAG